rnacentral:rRNA from 1 species
CGCAACCCUUAUCCUUUGUUGCCAGCGGUCCGGCCGGGAACUCAAAGGAGACUGCCAGUGAUAAACUGGAGGAAGGUGGGGAUGACGUCAAGUCAUCAUGGCCCUUACGACCAGGGCUACACACGUGCUACAAUGGCGCAUACAAAGAGAAGCGACCUCGCGAGAGCAAGCGGACCUCAUAAAGUGCGUCGUAGUCCGGAUUGGAGUCUGCAACUCGACUCCAUGAAGUCGGAAUCGCUAGUAAUCGUGGAUCAGAAUGCCACGGUGAAUACGUUCCCGGGCCUUGUACACACCGCCCGUCACACCAUGGGAGUGGGUUGCAAAAGAAGUAGGUAGCUUAACCUUCGGGAGGGCGCUUACCACUUUGUGAUUCAUGACUGGGGUGAAGUCGUAACAAGGUAACCGUAGGGGAACCUGCGGUUGGAUCACCUCCUUA